CGGACGGGUGAGUAAUGUCUGGGAAACUGCCUGAUGGAGGGGGAUAACUGUUGGAAACGGUAGCUAAUACCGCAUAACGUCGCAAGACCAAAGAGGGGGACCUUCGGGCCUCUUGCCAUCGGAUGUGCCCAGAUGGGAUUAGCUAGUAGGUGGGGUAACGGUUCACCUAGGCGACGAUCCCUAGCUGGUCUGAGAGGAUGACCAGCCACACUGGAACUGAGACACGGUCCAG
rnacentral:rRNA from 1 species